CUAGUAAGUUGGGUGAUUGCUCUGUAAGAUAAUCAAAAGAUCUCACGGAGAGGAAAGUCCGAACUUCCUCAGGUACUUAACCAAGUACUUGAUAAAAAGGUAGCGGCUAACAGCCGUCGGCCGUAAGGCUAGAGGUGCGAAAAGAAACGCUUCUGCCGAAAGGUAAAGAAGUAUCCUUCGGGAUAAUCCUGAUGGAAACAUCAGGCUGAUACGGCUAAAUCCUUACUGGAAGCAAGAACAAGCUCCGUUCUUCCUUGCUCAGAGAAAGAUCUGAAAGGUUCCAAGAAAGAUAUAGCUUUUUCGUUUAUGGAAUCUUGAUUUUUUCGCAAUGAAAAGGCGGAGGAAAGUAGUUCGCUUGAGCCCAAGAGUAAUCUUGAGCCUAGACAGAUAAUCACUUGAGACAGAAUUCGGCUUAUAGACUUACUAGGGCU
rnacentral:RNase_P_RNA from 2 species